rnacentral:rRNA from 1 species
CUACUGGGGUAUCUAAUCCUGUUCGCUCCCCACGCUUUCGCUCCUCAGCGUCAGUUACUGCCCAGAGACCCGCCUUCGCCACCGGUGUUCCUCCUGAUAUCUGCGCAUUUCACCGCUACACCAGGAAUUCCAGUCUCCCCUACAGCACUCUAGUCUGCCCGUAUCGACUGCAGGCUCGGGGUUGAGCCCCGAGUUUUCACAGCCGACGCGACAGACCGCCUACGAGCUCUUUACGCCCAAUAAUUCCGGACAACGCUUGCACCCUACGUAUUACCGCGGCUGCUGGCAC